GGAUAAUAGGAAAUUUUAUUCAACAGCAAAUGAGUUUGAACUUCAAUGACUAUGGAGAAUUUAUAGAUAAUUCUAUCUAGCUGUUUUAUGGAAAACAUGCAACUUAUUAUACAUGCAAAGAGGAUCAUAAAAGACACUGCAAUACAUGCAUACAAGAGAACAAAGUCUUAGCUAUAUCUGUAAUGAAACUACACAUAAGUUAAGCUUCUCUGAAGGUUCAUAAGUUGAAACAGUUUAUAUUUAUUUGCAUUGGACACCUUGGAUUUGGCAAUAUAUAUAGCUCUCUCUGCAGGGUAUUCAAUUAAUUGAUUUCUUCCAUGUUGAUGCCACCAGCUGCUGCACUUGGUGGUCUUGGUAGAUCACUGCAGAACAACUUUGAUUUUCGCAAGGGAUCAGUCGCAUUCUCUGGUGAACUCCUCCAGUUCAUCCUAUACUUCUGUAGUAUUUGAUCAAUUAAGCACACACAAGAUUAUCUUUCACCUCUAGAUUAAUUAAAGACAGAAAAAGGACUGAAAUUAACAGUAACAAUCAAUAUAACCAGUGAGUUUUUCCAAAUUUAAUUUAGCAAAUGUUGAAUGUUGUGGUUUUAAAAAAGCAACAAAGAAAUUAGAAAUUGAUAAUCAAACAUUUGCAAUUUUCUGUGAGAAAAAAUGAGUAAUUGUAAACUUGUGAGGAAACAAAGAAAUUAGAAACCUGCAAAUGGCUUUUCACUUGAUUAGCGGUCAGCCCUUCAACCUGCAUAUGGUCUCUUAUUUGCUUUGGUGUAGCCACUGCAUGCACAAAAUGGACCAAAUACCAAACAAAAAAGAAGAAAAAUCAGAUGCAUGACGAGAGGCAAGAGGUAUCCAUGCAAUGAGCUGAUCAUCAAAUUAAUGUCUUAAAAGAAGAAAACUGAUAAUAAAUUGGGAAUUCCUGAUAUAAAUAAAAUAAAAUGAGGAAGAAAUUAAGUAACCUUCAGGGCCACCUAGCAGAUGAAGAGCCACCGAAAACCUAGCAUGAAGCGCUGGUCUCCAUGAUCUCCGGUUGUUUCUGAAAAUACAUUGCGUUAAUGGCUUCAUAUUAUAACUCACAGAUCCGUGAUUUUUUCCAGUAUUCACAUUCACCACCAUACUUGGAGAAGGAUCAAUUGAUAAACUACCACCACACAUUUGCCUCUUGUUAUGAUGAUGAUGAGUAGGAAUAUUACUCCACUGAUCAGAACACGGGUUAUUUAGGUCCAACCUUUGCUGCUCCUCAGAGCCCCUCUUCUUUGUUGCUAAAACAUCCCCUGUAGACCUCUCAGGUUCAAGCCCCAUUGCCAUCUUUAAUUUCCUCAUUUCCUCUUUCAAUGCCUAAAUUGCUGCAUUUAUCAAAACUAAAUGUUUAAACAUCUACUCUUGAUACAUAUCCUUGAGUAAAAAAUAAUCAAUUAAAAAAAAGGAUAAAUCCAUCAACAAAUUUGUCCUUUUUCUUGUAAAAUACUAAUUAUAAGAUAAACAAAUUUCCGUAUAAAGGAGUAAAACGAAGAAAGAGAACUCAGCAAAAGAAAGAAAAAGACUAACUAUCCAUUAGCAGCAGCCUGCACUGAGGAAGUUCUUGCUUAAAAACUCCAGCAAAAAUCAUUUCUUCUUGACACUUGAGAAGGUAAUCAUUCAAUAACAAUAGUUUAACCUCAUUGCUUUCACUAUCUGAUAAAUCUUUUAUCACGUUGGGAAGACUUUUGGGCACAUAGGACAGUUUGAGACCCAAGCCAAACUCACAGGGACCAGAAGAAGCCAUCACUAAUUUGAGUAAAAAACUUCACUAUUUAAAAAACCUAGCUUUGCUUGUUUUUGCGAAGCCUAAAUAGAGGGCUAUAUAUGUGAGUGUAGGAGACCCUAGUUUGGGAGUUAUGUACAAGAGCAACGAUAUUAAAAAGAGGAGAAAAGAAAACAACCAGAAACUGGUAUAUAUUGAAAAAUGGUUUCUUGGCAUACCAAACGACAAAUUAGAUUACAUAUGCCAGAUUCCUCAUGCAUUCUAUCACAUUUUGACAUCUAAAAUUUAUUAAAAUAAAAUAAGAAGUUAAAGUAAAACAUGGAAACUGAGAGUUAAUGCACCCAUAAUUUCUUCAGUCACUGCAUAACACGUAUAUCUCAUUUGUUGUCGGUGGUAUGUGGACCCUCUUCAAAUUUGAAUCUGGUUUGAUUUCUUGAAAUUUUUAUAUGUAGAAUCGAAUAGUUCCCAUAAUAAAGAAAGUUAUAGUUUUACCAAACAUGUCUAACUUGGUUGGAAUCCUCACAUCCUUAAAAGGGUGUAGAAAGUGGGGGAUUUUGGGUCCAAAACCCCCCAUCCACCAAUGUAGUGGGAGUUUUCUUUAUUAAUAUAAUGAGAGUUAUGAAAGUGCAAAGCAUAUCUUGUACAGCUGAUGUAAAACCAAUAGGGUAUUGGGGAAUUAGGAAGUAGGAAACAAAUUCUCAAAUUGGAGAGAAACACAUUCUCUACUCAUAUAGCUCAAAGCAACAUCAAUCAUCAUGUGUAAUGCACAAAAUAUAUAGAGAUCCUAGGCCUAUUUAUAGAGAUUCAGCAACCCUAAUCACAUUAGGAUUAGGAACUCUAAUUCCAAUUCUAAUUAGGAAUCACAAAUCAAAUAAAACUUUAAAUAAAACACUUCUAAAUAAAAUAAACUUCUUCCUAUAUUUUUCCUAAAAUAGGUAGUCCUAAAGUCUCUAGGAUUUCCUACAUCAAUAGCCUAUAUUGUGUUAAAGACAUUUUCUUUUCUUACGAAUCUCCUUAGGAUUAGUAUAGAUGAUUUUGCCUUUUAUGCAUUUAAUAAGUGCAAAUUAUAUGACUUCACAAUUAAGUAUUUUAAUAUUCUUUUCAAAAGUAACUAGGCAGGUGAAAAUAAGAAUUUAAAAAAUGUAAUUUUAGUAUCUCUAAGAUUAAAAAGCAAGGUGAUUAGAUGAGAUAAUGCACAUGGAGAGAUAAGUAGAAGAAAAGUGUGAUAUACCACGAUAAUCAAAUGAGAAGGAAAUACAUAAAGGAAAAAAAAAAGAUUUUGAUAUAUCAGUAGAAAAGGAAAGAAGAAAAUAAAGAAAAUAGAAAAGGGAGAAGAAGACAGUUUGGUUAAGAAAGAGGAAAAGGAAGGAAAAGAACACAUGAAAAAGAAAAAAAGAUAAUUACGGCAAGAAAUUAAACUACAGGAGAAUUAAAAAAGGGGAUCUGAUAACCAGUUCAGCAUAACCAAAGAUGAAAGUAAGUUAAGAAUUGAAAAAGCCAAUGAAAGAAAGAAUAACAAUUAAUCAGGAAAGAAGAUCAAAGGUUAUCCCAACACCAAGAAUAUCAAAAUUACAUAAAAAAAUGAAUAAAAUGUUGGUUUCAUACCAUACAAGUCAGAGAUAAUCUGAAAUGUUGAAAUUCAAGUCUGUCUUAUUGAAAUUUGAGACAAAUAUUUACAUCUUAUUGCCUCAUCUGCAAAGAUACACUACGUUUUGGCUCCAACAUAAUUGAAGGCAAUGGAAGUCAUCCAAAUGUUAUGAAUGAAAUAUUUUCUGCCAAAGGUGUACAAUAGCCUAUGUGCCUUUUUUUUUUGUAAAAUAAGAAAUAGCUGGCUGAGCGCCUAAGCAAGAGAACAGUAAGAAAAACUUUUGUUAGGUUAGAUUUUCACAUAGAAAUGUGCGGAAAACUCUGCAUACUUCCCAAGAUAAAACCUUUUACUUUUAUAAAUAAAAGUAUUUAUAAUAUUUACAUCAACGCAUUUACUAUGAAAAAAUUUUUUACUAAGUACAUACAUAAUACAAAAUUUGACACUUCAACUUACAAAUCUAAAACUUAAAUGAGGUAAGCGUGUGUACAUGUAUACUUUGAAAAAGCAUUUUAAUAUAGUCACGAAGUCUUUUGAGAAAGGGAUAAGAAUAAAAGUUUGGAUGUCAUAGUGAAGAAAUUGUUACACAAUGGAAGACAGUUAAUGCGUCUACCCAUUUUGGUGAUGCAAUCAUGAUAUUAACUAACCUAUCACUGAUGACGAAAAAGAAAAAAGGUAACAACAUUUCAAGUCCAUCUAUAUUUCUUUUCUUUUUCAAUUAAAACUACUUAUGAUGCCUAUGCUUCACACAGGUUAUGCUUGAGAUUUUGUUGUGUGUUUAUGUUUCACAUUAACAAUCUUUAUUCUUGCUUUAGAUAUGAUAUAAAUAUCAAUAUAUACAACCUAGUCAUUUUCUUUCUCCACCUUGAUCUGCACCCUGUUUUCCUCAAGACCCAACACCACUCCCUAGUCAUUUUCCCAACAACAUACCAUUAUGACUUUAUCCCAUCUCAAUUUUAUUCCCACCCUCAAGUUUCAUUUUAAUCCUUGACAGCAAAACCUACUGUGCUACUUCUGUUUUACAUCCACAACAUCCUCCUCCAACUUCUACUUUGACAUUACCAUAUUCUCUCCCCCUAUCUCACUAUAUAUUUAUGUUCUAUUUUUCCUUCCAUUAUUAGUACCACACACAUUAAACUUAUCUUUACGUUUAUCAGUCCCUCUGCUAUACCGCUCAUGUUUUGAUCCUUUUAUGU
rnacentral:misc_RNA from 1 species